UAAUACGUAGGCAGCAAACGUUGUUCGGAAUUACUGGGCGUAAAGAGUGUGUAGGCGGUUCUGUAAGAUUGGUGUGAAAUCUCCCGGCUUAACUGGGAGGGUGCGCCGAUAACUGCAGGGCUUGAGUAUUGGAGAGGAGAGCGGAAUUCCUGGUGUAGCGGUGAAAUGCGUAGAUAUCAGGAGGAACACCGGUGGUGUAGACGGCUCUCUGGACAAUCACUGACGCUGAGACACGAAAGCGUGGGGAGCAAACAGGAUUAGAUACCCUGGUAGUCCACGCCCUAAACGAUGCAUACUUGGUGUGAGCCAUUCAUUUGGUUCGUGCCGGAGCUAACGCGUUAAGUAUGCCGCCUGGGGAGUACGGUCGCAAGGCUGAAACUUAAAGGAAUUGACGG
rnacentral:rRNA from 1 species